rnacentral:rRNA from 1 species
UGGCCGUAAACGAUGUGGACUUGGUGUUGGGAUGGCUCCGAGCUGCCCCAGUGCCGAAGGGAAGCUGUUAAGUCCACCGCCUGGGAAGUACGGUCGCAAGACUGAAACUUGAAGGAAUUGGCGGGGGAGCACCACAACGCGUGGAGCCUGCGGUUUAAUUGGAUUCAACGCCGGACAACUCACCAGGAGCGACGGUUACAUGAAGGCCAGGCUGAUGACCUUGCCUGAUUUUCCGAGAGGAGGUGCAUGGCGUAGUCGUGU